rnacentral:tRNA from 1 species
GCCUGGCUGGCUCAGUCGGUUAAGCAUCUGACUUCGGCUCAGGUCAUGAUCUCACAGUCUGUGAGUUCGAGCCCCGCGUCGGGCU